UACGUAUGGGGCAAGCGUUGUUCGGAGUUAUUGGGCGUAAAGGGCGUGUAGGCGGCUCAUCAAGUCUGGUGUGAAAUCGCAGGGCUCAACCCUGCAUAUGCGCUGGAAACUGGUGGGCUUGAGUUCUGGAGGGGAAGCUGGAAUUCCAGGUGUAGGGGUGAAAUCUGUAGAUAUCUGGAAGAACACCGGUGGCGAAGGCGAGCUUCUAUCCGCGGACUGACGCUGAGGCGCGAAAGCGUGGGGAGCAAACAGG
rnacentral:rRNA from 1 species